UACAGAGGGGGCAAGCGUUGUUCGGAAUUACUGGGCGUAAAGAGUUGCGUAGGUGGCAGAGUAAGUAGAUAGUGAAAGCGUGUGGCUCAACCAUACUCACAUUAUCUAAACUAUCCAGCUAGAGGAUGAGAGAGGUUAUUGGAAUUCCCAGUGUAGGAGUGAAAUCCGUAGAUAUUGGGAGGAACACCGAUGGCGUAGGCAGAUAACUGGCUCAUUCCUGACACUAAGGCACGAAAGCGUGGGUAGCAAACGGG
rnacentral:rRNA from 1 species